rnacentral:lncRNA from 1 species
AUUUAUUUACUAUUUCUUAUAUAUUAUAUUUUUCAAGGAAGAAUUUCACCUCACAGAAAACCAAUGCCAGAUGAAUUGACGAUCCAAAGUUUCAAACAAUCAUAAUAGUGAAGUAGAGAAAUCCUUCUUAGGUUAACACACAAAGGAAAAAACAACAGAUUGUCCACAUUAAACAAAAGUUUAUAAGGCAAAUGAAAAUAUAUCAUAAACAGGGUUAAAAUUAAACAGAUAACAAAUAGGUAAGCAACAAGCUGGGAAAGGCAUGAAUGUCAGAUAUUUAUGUAGACAGAGAGACAGAAACGGAGAGAGGGAGACAGAGAAACAAUUCUAAUACAAACCAAUAAAAAGAUUAAAACUAUUCAAGGUGAAUAGACAAUCUACAUUACAAUUUUUUCAAAAGUCUUUUUG